rnacentral:rRNA from 1 species
UACGUAGGGGGCUAGCGUUGUUCGGAAUUACUGGGCGUAAAGGGCGCGUAGGUGGCCUGUUAAGUCGAACGUGAAAUCCCUGGGCUCAACCCAGGAACUGCGUCCGAGACUGAUAGGCUCGAAUCCGGGAGAGGGAUGUGGAAUUCCAGGUGUAGCGGUGAAAUGCGUAGAUAUCUGGAGGAACACCGGUGGCGAAGGCGACAUCCUGGACCGGUAUUGACGCUGAGGCGCGAAAGCCAGGGGAGCAAACGGG